rnacentral:rRNA from 1 species
GAUGAACGCUGACAGAAUGCUUAACACAUGCAAGUCUUUGGCGAAGCUGUGCUUGCACAGCCUAGCCAAGGCGGACGGGUGAGUAACGCGUAAGGAACCUGCCCUGCAGUCAGGGAUAACAGACGGAAACGACUGAUAAGACCUGGUAAAGUCAGGCGGACUCAUGUCCAGCCUGAUGAAAAGAGAUGCUGCAGGAGAGCCUUGCGUCCUAUUAGCUUGUUGGUGGGGUAACGGCCCACCAAGGCGAUGAUAGGUAGCCGGCCUGAGAGGGUGGACGGCCACAAGGGGACUGAGAUACGGCCCUUACUCCUACGGGAGGCAGCAGUGGGGAAUAUUGGACAAUGGGGGCAACCCUGAUCCAGCAAUUCUGUGUGCACGAUGAAGGUUUUCGGAUUGUAAAGUGCUUUCAGCAGGGAAGAAAAAAAUGACGGUACCUGCAGAAGAAGCGACGGCUAAAUACGUG